rnacentral:sRNA from 1 species
GGAACACGAAGUGGGGAUCUGCACUUGGGGUGGUCAACACUGCGGAUGCCCAGCAAAGGCACUGCCUGGUCCACCUCCCGGAGGGGUCUCUGCGCCCCAGUCGGCAUCGCAGCUGAUGGUGAAACUUUUGGUGUGGCAGAAGAGUGUCCACAAACUUUGGAAGUUGCUAAAGAAAAAUGAAAACGACUAGUUUUGAAAGCCUUACUUCUGCCAAUGGAAGCACAUUCCAGCAUGUCGCCAACGCAAUCCACUUUCCACCACUUUCACAAGAAACGUUACUGCACAAUUAUACUAUCCUACCCUUAUAUA